rnacentral:rRNA from 1 species
GCUUAGCCCUAAACUAAAAUAGCUUACCACAACAAAGCUAUUCGCCAGAGUACUACUAGCAACAGCCUAAAACUCAAAGGACUUGGCGGUGCUUUACAUCCCUCUAGAGGAGCCUGUUCCAUAAUCGAUAAACCCCGAUAAACCCCACCAUCCCUUGCUAAUUCAGCCUAUAUACCGCCAUCUUCAGCAAACCCUAAACAAGGUACCGAAGUAAGCACAAACAUCCAACAUAAAAACGUUAGGUCAAGGUGUAGCCCAUGGGAUGGAGAGAAAUGGGCUACAUUUUCUACCCUAAGAACAAGAACUUUAACCCGGACGAAAGUCUCCAUGAAACUGGAGACUGAAGGAGGAUUUAGCAGUAAAUUAAGAAUAGAGAGCUUAAUUGAAUCAGGCCAUGAAGCGCGC